CUGUCCGUAGCGCAGCUUGGGUAGCGCGGGUCACUUGGGAUGAUCAGGUCGUUGGUUCAAAUCCAACCGGACAGA
rnacentral:tRNA from 1 species